UAAAGAUACUAAAACACACCCAUGGAGCCAGAGGUGCCAAUUCACCAAUUAGAAUCACUCUAAGGAGCAGCAAGGUAAAAUCCCUGGAGAAGGUGUGUGCUGACUUGAUCAGAGGGGCAAAGGAAAAGAAUCUCAAAGUGAAAGGACCAGUUCAAAUGCCUACCAAGAAUCACUAAAAGAAAAACUCCCUGUGGUGAAUUCUAAGACACCGGAUCAUUUCCAGAUGAUAAUCUGCAAGUGACUCAUUGACUUGCACGGCCCUUCUGAGACCGUUAAGGAAUUUACUUCCAUGAAUAUUGGGAGGAAUCUGUGAGGCAUUCACAAAGCAG
rnacentral:lncRNA from 1 species